GUGGCAGCUCCACGCUUCCAUAAUUUGGUAAUCAAAAUAUGUAACUUAAUUAAUUAUAUUGUGACGUACUUUUGCCUUUUCUUAUUAUUCUGCCUUCUCAAUAACUAUCAAAGCCUAUUCACAUUUAAUUUGGCUUUCACAGAAAUCCUACCUCUCCUUCUGGCUACAGAGUACUUACCAAGGUUAGAAACAAAGAACAGUUAUGCUUUAUUAAUGUUCGCUAAUUACAAUGUUCCACAUUUCCUUGCUUUUUAAGUCAUUUUUAGGCUUUUUAGAGUUUUUGUUUUUUAUUUUUUUAGCAGUAAUGUUUCUGCCUAUUUAUUUCAGCCCAUGAAAUCGAAUGCAGAUCUUCCUAAUGUGAGAUUUACAUAAAUAUGUCAAAGUCUCAACCUCAUGCUGCCCUCCCCCAUCCUCCUAAAGUUCAAUGGUGCGUGUUCUUCUAAUGGCCGCCUUCCCACUGGAGGUUUUGAUCCACAGCAAUUUAAAAGGUAAUCAGCUUUGAAAGUCAGUUCAAAUGGUUAGCUAAUAGUACUU